AGUAGCUAUUAAAAAUUUAGUAACUUAGUCACUUAAAUGUGUGUUUAUCUGCUGUUUGAAGAGAAUGCUUUUGUAUUACAUCUAAAAGGUUAAAAUAAGACCAAAUGCAUCCAAAUGUCCUUGUACUAUUGCUAUAAUGCACAGUUGAGCUCCUUUUUUUUUUUUCUACAUUGUUCAAUCAAAAUCAUAAGUUUUAACUUUAUGCCUAACUUAAAUUU
rnacentral:misc_RNA from 1 species